rnacentral:rRNA from 1 species
UACGAAGGGGGCUAGCGUUGCUCGGAAUCACUGGGCGUAAAGCGCACGUAGGCGGCUCUCUAAGUCAGGGGUGAAAUCCUGGAGCUCAACUCCAGAACUGCCUUUGAUACUGGAGAGCUAGAGUCCGGAAGAGGUGAGUGGAACUGCGAGUGUAGAGGUGAAAUUCGUAGAUAUUCGCAAGAACACCAGUGGCGAAGGCGGCUCACUGGUCCGGUACUGACGCUGAGGUGCGAAAGCGUGGGGAGCAAACAGG